AAAUUGAAGAGUUUGAUCAUGGCUCAGAUUGAACGCUGGCGGCAGGCCUAACACAUGCAAGUCGAGCGGUAGCACAGAGAGCUUGCUCUCGGGUGACGAGCGGCGGACGGGUGAGUAAUGUCUGGGAAACUGCCUGAUGGAGGGGGAUAACUACUGGAAACGGUAGCUAAUACCGCAUAACGUCGCAAGACCAAAGUGGGGGACCUUCGGGCCUCAUGCCAUCAGAUGUGCCCAGAUGGGAUUAGCUAGUAGGUGGGGUAACGGCUCACCUAGGCGACGAUCCCUAGCUGGUCUGAGAGGAUGACCAGCCACACUGGAACUGAGACACGGUCCAGACUCCUACGGGAGGCAGCAGUGGGGAAUAUUGCACAAUGGGCGCAAGCCUGAUGCAGCCAUGCCGCGUGUGUGAAGAAGGCCUUCGGGUUGUAAAGCACUUUCAGCGGGGAGGAAGGCGUUAAGGUUAAUAACCUUGGCGAUUGACGUUACCCGCAGAAGAAGCACCGGCUAACUCCGUGCCAGCAGCCGCGGUAAUACGGAGGGUGCAAGCGUUAAUCGGAAUUACUGGGCGUAAAGCGCACGCAGGCGGUCUGUCAAGUCGGAUGUGAAAUCCCCGGGCUCAACCUGGGAACUGCAUUCGAAACUGGCAGGCUAGAGUCUUGUAGAGGGGGGUAGAAUUCCAGGUGUAGCGGUGAAAUGCGUAGAGAUCUGGAGGAAUACCGGUGGCGAAGGCGGCCCCCUGGACAAAGACUGACGCUCAGGUGCGAAAGCGUGGGGAGCAAACAGGAUUAGAUACCCUGGUAGUCCACGCCGUAAACGAUGUCGAUUUGGAGGUUGUGCCCUUGAGGCGUGGCUUCCGGAGCUAACGCGUUAAAUCGACCGCCUGGGGAGUACGGCCGCAAGGUUAAAACUCAAAUGAAUUGACGGGGGCCCGCACAAGCGGUGGAGCAUGUGGUUUAAUUCGAUGCAACGCGAAGAACCUUACCUACUCUUGACAUCCACAGAAUCUGGUAGAGAUACCUCAGUGCCUUCGGGAACUGUGAGACAGGUGCUGCAUGGCUGUCGUCAGCUCGUGUUGUGAAAUGUUGGGUUAAGUCCCGCAACGAGCGCAACCCUUAUCCUUUGUUGCCAGCGGUCCGGCCGGGAACUCAAAGGAGACUGCCAGUGAUAAACUGGAGGAAGGUGGGGAUGACGUCAAGUCAUCAUGGCCCUUACGACCAGGGCUACACACGUGCUACAAUGGCAUAUACAAAGAGAAGCGACCUCGCGAGAGCAAGCGGACCUCAUAAAGUAUGUCGUAGUCCGGAUUGGAGUCUGCAACUCGACUCCAUGAAGUCGGAAUCGCUAGUAAUCGUAGAUCAGAAUGCUACGGUGAAUACGUUCCCGGGCCUUGUACACACCGCCCGUCACACCAUGGGAGUGGGUUGCAAAAGAAGUAGGUAGCUUAACCUUCGGGAGGGCGCUUACCACUUUGUGAUUCAUGACUGGGGUGAAGUCGUAACAAGGUAACCGUAGGGGAACCUGCGGUUGGAUCACCUCCUUACCUUAAAGAA
rnacentral:rRNA from 1 species